rfam:Pedobacter sp. PACM 27299, complete genome.
GAUAUCUGUAGUCUAGUAAACAGAAUAAAAAACGGGGCGAUACCGAAAGGCCAUAAGAGUAGGGAACAAA